rnacentral:rRNA from 1 species
UACGUAGGGUGCAAGCGUUGUCCGGAAUUAUUGGGCGUAAAAAGCUCGUAGGCGGUCUGUCGCGUCGGCUGUGAAAACUCGGGGCUCAACUCCGAGCUUGCAGUCGAUACGGGCAGGCUAGAGUUCGGCAGGGGGAGACUGGAAUUCCUGGUGUAGCGGUGAAAUGCGCAGAUAUCAGGAGGAACACCGGUGGCGAAGGCAGAUCUCUGGGCCGUAACUGACGCUGAGGAGCGAAAGCAUGGGGGAGCGAACAGG